rnacentral:rRNA from 1 species
UACGGGAGGCAGCAGUGGGGAAUAUUGCACAAUGGGCGAAAGCCUGAUGCAGCUAUGCCGCGUGUAUGAAGAAGGCCUUAGGGUUGUAAAGUACUUUCAUCGGGGAGGAAAAAACAAAACUAAUAAUUUUAUUUCUUGACGUUACCCGAAAAAGAAGCACCGGCUAACUCCGUGCCAGCAGCCGCGGUAAUACGGAGGGUGCUAGCGUUAAUCAGAAUUACUGGGCGUAAAGAGCACGUAGGUGGUUUUUUUAAAGUCAGAUGUGAAAUCCCUGGGCUUAACCUGGAACUGCAUUUUGAAACUGAAAUACUAGAGUAUCGUAGAGGGAGGUAGAAUUCUAGGUGUAGCGGUGAAAUGCGUAGAUAUCUGGAGGAAUACCUGUGGCGAAAGCGGCCUCCUAAACGAAUACUGACACUGAGGUGCGAAAGCGUGGGGAGCAAACAGGGAUUAGAUACCCGU